rnacentral:rRNA from 1 species
UAGGGAAUCUUCGGCAAUGGACGAAAGUCUGACCGAGCAACGCCGCGUGAGUGAAGAAGGUUUUCGGAUCGUAAAACUCUGUUGUUAGAGAAGAACAAGGACGUUAGUAACUGAACGUCCCCUGACGGUAUCUAACCAGAAAGCCACGGCUAACUACGUGCCAGCAGCCGCGGUAAUACGUAGGUGGCAAGCGUUGUCCGGAUUUAUUGGGCGUAAAGCGAGCGCAGGCGGUUUCUUAAGUCUGAUGUGAAAGCCCCCGGCUCAACCGGGGAGGGUGAUUGGAAACUGGGAGAGUUGAGUGCAGAAGAGGAGAGUGGAAUUCCAUGUGUAGCGGUGAAAUGCGUAGUUAUAUGGAGGAACACCAGUGGCGAAGGCGGCUCUCUGGUCUGUAACUGACGCUGAGGCUCGAAAGCGUGGGGAGCAAACAGG